GGCCCCCUGCUUCUGCCUGUCUGCCCAUAGCAACAUCAACCAAAUCACAGAAAUCCUCCUGGGAGAGACCAAAGCCUAUGUGUUCUUCGAGCGGAGCUAUGGAGACAUGCAUUCCUUUGUCCGCACUUGCAAGAAGCUGAGGGAGGAGGAGGCAGCCCGACUGUUCUACCAGAUUGCCUCGGCGGUGGCCCACUGCCAUGAUGGGGGGCUGGUGCUGCGUGACCUCAAGCUGCGGAAAUUUAUCUUCAAGGAUGAAGAGAGGUAAGUGGAGCUCAGCCCAUGCAGGUGUGAGUGUGUGUGUGUGUGUGUGUGUGUGUGUGUGUGUGUGUGUGUGAUGUCUGCAUCUGCAUCUGUAGGGAGCUUGUUCCAAUGCCUGUUGUCCAGGUGAGAGUUAGGGCAAGCAGAACAAAGAGAGAGUCUUGUGGUGUCCCAAUCCCCUUGGCAAACAAGAAAUCAUUGCUCCUGUCAUGAAACAUUCAAAGGCCAGGGGGAUAGGAUAGUCUGUCACCUGCUGAAUGUGUGUGGUUUGUAUGAAGAAUUCUGAAGGAGGCUGCAAACUAGUGUGGCAGUUUCUAAGUCAACAAAGACAGGUUUAUGAAGGCUUCAUGCUGUCAGAGCACUGACUACCUAGGGGGGAUUGUUUAUAGCCCUUUCACUCCCUUAAUAGCUGUUUCCUGUGCACGUAGUAGGUGUAAACCACAGGCUUGCAAGUGAACAUCAGAAGUAGAUAGACCUUGGACCUAUCAAACAGUCAGAGGUGAGUCCUGUGUGUCUUGGGUCCUGUGUGAUGUGGUGUGGUGGGAAUUGCCUGUUCUCACUAGAUCUUGUGUAACCCAAAGGUUUGAAAGAGAGAGAAGCAUGGUAGUCUGGGAAGGGCUGGCUUGCCAGGCGGGGAAC
rnacentral:lncRNA from 1 species